GGACAUGAAAUAAGAGCUUUUAAUUUUCAACUUUGAUUAUCACAAAAAUUGCUUAUAAAUUUUAUUUAGCAUAAAAAUAUUAAUAUUGGAGAUUAGGAAUUAAUUUAAUUAUCGAAAGUGGGCCCCACGACACGUGGCGAGAUUUGGUUGGCCUUGAAUAAAGAUGGACACAUGUCAUGAAAAUUGACACAUGUCCACUUUGUAAAGAUUAUAUAAAUGAGCAUAAGUGGAUGACAACACUACAAUUAAUCUUGCAAAUUAGGUUUUAGAGAGAGGGGCUCUCAAGCCUAGAGAGAGAGAGAGAGAGAGGGGUUCGGGCACUGUUCACGGCGACUGUUCACAGCGGCGCCACUGUUCACGGCGGCGCCACUGUUCACGGGCACUGUUCACGGCCAGCCCAUUUUUGCCCCCUUCUACACAAUUAAUUGGAGAGAUUUGAAGAUCAAGAGGAGGAAAAAGAUGGAGCUCAUGGUAGCCAUGACAACUCACGGCCAUGGCUUUCUUGAAGACAUUUCAUGGUGAAAAAUUAGAGCUUGUCUCUAAGAACUUGGGGAGCCCGAGGCGUAGAUUUAGAUUGGCUAUCUUGGAAGUGCGUUCGAGGUACAUACGACAGGUUCGCUGAUCCGCCCGCUUAGGAUCUUAUUCUGCUAUUCUGAGGCGCUCUCUUAUCCGGAGCCUAUAUUUUUGGUACAGUCUCCUGCUAUUGUAUAAAUGUACGUCACUCAGGGGUACGACGGGGCCCUGUCCCGUCAUAUGAUUCUGUCGGUCUGUUUAGAGGUCUGUGGACAUGUUUGUGGGUUGGGGGUCUUCCUGUAUGAAUGCGUGUAUAUGUUGUGUUUGGGCGAUCCCAUUCGCCGCGGCGGCCGGUCUGCAUAUGUUUAAAUGUUGCUUUGUUGGCCCUGUGUGGCCUUUGUUGGUAUUUUCUGUGCGUAGGGUAUAUUGGAUAGUCCGUAAAACAAAGGAAACUCUGCCGAAAUUUUUCUGGAAAUUAUCUAAAUUUAAAAUAUAGUCUUGUCGGCUUAUGCUAUAUACUGGAAUACGGUUAAUAAAAUCUGAGAUAGCAUUUGAUAGAUGUGUCUGGGUGCCCAG